ACGAGGCACUCGAAUCAAGUAUCUUAAAUUAUUAGUCGUUAAAUAUAUACGUUGAAUUACAUUACAACGAUCUCUUAUUUUUUUUAAAGAAAAGUCUAAUAAAUUAUUAGAAGUGGAAUAUCACACGGGAAGAUAAACGCGCGUUUGAAAAUGAUACAAAUUUUAUUAAAAUCAUUAUAUUACGUACAGAUUGCAAGAAUAUUGUUAGAACGGUAUCAUUAUUUCUCUGAUAGUUAGAAUACCGCACAGUUAAUUGUAUGAUGUAUGGAUAAUCGAAUAGUCGUGAAAAUCUCAUCGAUAUUUGUAACGUUCUCGUGGUUAAAUAUUUAUAAAUAAGAGUAGUGAAGAAUCUGGUGAAGGAUCUUUUUACCAACUCGAACAAAGCAAAUAAAAUCUACGAACGAACAACAUACGUCAAUAAUAUUAGAGGACAAAGAUUGUUAAUACGUAAUUUGCGUUUAUGAGAAAACAUCGACAAAGCCAUAGAUAUAACAAAUAACCGAUUUACAGACAAAAGAGUAUGGACAAAAGGAAACAACAAUUCAGAGAAAAAAAAAAAAGUACAGUAAGUACAAGAAAUAAGUACAAGAAACCGUCUAAUCAUUACUCCGGUAAUUAAAAUACCAUAUGAUUUAAUUGUGUGGUCUAAUAAACAUCUGAUGGUUACAAAAAGCGGUACUCAAAAUGUUUCGGUUAAGAGAUUAUGAAUACGAGGGGUAAAGAAAGUGGUGAAAAAACAUUCAAAUAAUAGUCGGACAUAUCAAGGAGAAAAAAGUAAGCAAAUUAAAUUUAAAAGAAAAAAAUGUCAAUAACAUCAGAGGACAAGAAUACUCAAGACGAUAUAAUGAUGAUAAGAAACGAUCCGACAAAGAUGUAGAAUUACGACCGAAAUAACAUUACUGAGAGCAAAAAAGUAUUGUCGAAAUCGAACUGAAGUAAAUACUGAAGGUAAGAACAAUAAUUAAUAUAUUUAACAAAGAUGUACAUUUUUAUUCGCAGGCAGGAAUAGUAUCCGAAAGAAAUUAUGGAGAUAUAAAUGUAAAAUUAUUUCCAAAAUAUGAUAAGAAAAAUGCGACGGGAAAAGUAAAUUCAGAUCUCAUUAUAUUGGAAAACCCUAAUAUUUGGAAAUUUCACAGAAUUUUCUGGAGAACUAAUCUGUAAAAAUUUACUUAUUCUUAGCAAAUAUGAAGAUGCAAUUGCUAAAUAUCUCUUACAAAUAGUUCAUAUCGAUAGAACUGAGAUGAAUAUAUUAUUCGUGGAUUCAACGUUCAUACAUUAUCAACCGUAUAGAGGAAACCAUUACAAAUAGCAAUAAUAACAGUCAGGAAAUAAAUAACGAAUAGCAAUUGAUGGAAACCGCCAUCAUCGAAGAGGAUACUUUUCAAUUCUCCAGUUCGGUAAAAUUGAUAAAAAAAAAAAAUAAAAAUACGAAUGUGCUUGGACUAUCAACCACAUAUAUUAUAUAUCGGUAAAUUAUAUAACGGUAAAUGGUAAAAUAGUCAAGCAACAGUAUCCUAUAGCUCAAGUAUAGUAUACUAAUU